rnacentral:lncRNA from 1 species
AUUUCCUUUGAUCUUUAUAACAGUCCUGUGAGGCAUCUGCCCUUUUACUAUCACUAUUUUUUUUUACAGAUGAGGAUAUUGAGCUGUUAAGAGAUUUGGCCAGGGUAACACAACUAGUUUUGCCUGGCAUUCUGCAGAAGCAUUGCUGUAUCUUACCAGACAGGAAUACAGGAGCUUGACACUUAUGAACAAAAGUUUUGGAGCUUAAUCUCAGCUGGAAAGGAGCAGGUGGUCACAGUGGGAAGACUUUUCUUCCUGAGUUCAAAUCUGACCUCAGACACUUACUAGCUGUGUGACCCAUGGCAAGUCACUCAACCCUGUUUACCUCAGUUUCCUCAACUGUAAAAUGAGCCAGAGAAGGAAAUGGCAAACAUUACAUUAUUUCUUCCU